CGCUCGUUUAUCUCUGCUCUGCUCUUUACUCCAAAGUAUGAAGUAUCGCUCUCUUCCUUCUCCCAUCAUCGUACCAAUUUUCCGCACCUUCACCGCAACAUGAUCUAGCAGUUCCACCAUUAACUCUGCUAACGCGUCUCGCUCACAAAAUUUGGAACGGAUCGUGAAACACCGAAACCUUAAGCCGAAGUUUACCGCAUAGAAAUGGAAGGUGCCUUUGACGAUGAAGCUGAACCGGCCGUUACUAUCGGCGAGUACCUUGAUGAAGUCGAGGAACGGGAACUGGAAGCUGAUUUAGUUUUGGGGGGUGAUGAUGGCAAGGAAUGUACCUACAACAAAGGUUAUAUGAAAAGGCAAGCAAUUUUCUCUUGCCUCACCUGU